rnacentral:rRNA from 1 species
UGGACGAAAACUGNCGCUGAGGCGCGAAAGCCAGGGGAGCGAACGGGAUUAGAUACCCCGGUAGUCCUGGCCGUAAACGAUGGGUACUAGGUGUAGGAGGUAUCGACCCCUUCUGUGCCGGAGUUAACGCAAUAAGUACUCCGCCUGGGGAGUACGACCGCAAGGUUGAAACUCAAAGGAAUUGACGGGGGCCCGCACAAGCGGUGGAGUAUGUGGUUUAAUUCGACGCAACGCGAAGAACCUUACCAGGUCUUGACAUUGAUGGACAGAACCAGAGAUGGUUCCUCUUCUUCGGAAGCCAGAAAACAGGUGGUGCACGGUUGUCGUCAGCUCGUGUCGUGAGAUGUUGGGUUAAGUCCCGCAGCGAGCGCAACCCCUAUCUUAUGUUGCCAGCACUUUGGGUGGGGACUCAUGAGAGACUGCCGCAGACAAUGCGGAGGAAGGCGGGGAUGACGUCAAAUCAUCAUGCCCCUUAUGACCUGGGCUACACACGUACUACAAUGGGAGUUAAUAGACGGAAGCGAGAUCGCGAGAUGGAGCAAACCCGAGAAACACUCUCUCAGUUCGAAUCGUAGGCUGCAACUCGCCUACGUGAAGUCGGAAUCGCUAGUAAUCGCAGGUCAGCAUACUGCGGUGAAUACGUUCCCGGGCCUUGUACACACCGCCCGUCACACCACGAAAGUCGGAAGUGCCCAAAGCCGGUGGGGUAAC